GAUAGACAACUUUGUGUUGUUCAUAGAGCUUAUUGUGUAUCUCUUUAUUCACUCUAUUGAGAAAGUAUUUGUUGUAAAAGAGAGUUGUUUGAGAAGAACAUGUCUUCUCAUUUGUCGGGUUUGCUGAGUACCCAAAGUCUUAGUGGUUGAAGUCUUGGGGUGAGGUAUCCUCAAGCAAGUGAAGUCUUAAGGUGUGGUAUCCUUGAGCAACUGUAACGAUUUGUUAAGCACCCGUAAGCUUGACGAAGAUAGUGGAAAUCUCGAGAGAGUCUCUCGGGGACUGGACU
rnacentral:lncRNA from 1 species